CUCUGUUUUGGCUUUUGGAACUUGUAAAUUUUUACAAGAGGCAUUUCUCAAACGAUAUUGGUUUAUUUCUGGCAUUUCUUUAAAUUUUUCAGUGAGAUAUACAGGGGCUUCAUUCUUAAGGCAUUUAUGCAUCAAAACUGAUUUGUGGUAUGAGAUUCUGUUCUCUACUGUCAUCCAUCCAAGCUGUUUAAACAGUGGAGUUGAUGAUGAAAGUGGAUCAGCAUCUAAAAUAAGUCUUGCAGCCCUUUUCUGCAAUUUUAUUAUUCUAACUAGCUCAUUUUUAGCACAACCACUCCAAAU
rnacentral:lncRNA from 1 species